rnacentral:rRNA from 1 species
GAUGAACGCUGGCGGCGUGCCUAAUACAUGCAAGUCGAGCGAACGGACGAGGAGCUUGCUCCUCUGAUGUUAGCGGCGGACGGGUGAGUAACACGUGGAUAACCUACCUAUAAGACUGGGAUAACUUCGGGAAACCGGAGCUAAUACCGGAUAAUAUUUUGAACCGCAUGGUUCAAAAGUGAAAGACGGUUUUGCUGUCACUUAUAGAUGGAUCCGCGCCGCAUUAGCUAGUUGGUAAGGUAACGGCUUACCAAGGCAACGAUGCGUAGCCGACCUGAGAGGGUGAUCGGCCACACUGGAACUGAGACACGGUCCAGACUCCUACGGGAGGCAGCAGUAGGGAAUCUUCCGCAAUGGGCGAAAGCCUGACGGAGCAACGCCGCGUGAGUGAUGAAGGUCUUCGGAUCGUAAAACUCUGUUAUUAGGGAAGAACAAAUGUGUAAGUAACUAUGCACGUCUUGACGGUACCUAAUCAGAAAGCCACGGCUAACUACGUG